rnacentral:lncRNA from 1 species
CUGUCCCAUGGUCACACAGCGAGUAAACGAAGGGGCCGGGAUCUCACCCAGCCAGUCUGUCAGAGCCCAGAGUCUUCAUCACUGCUUAAUCACACGCUUGAUCCGAAUGACAUCAUACUCUUUCACCAAAACCUAGGAAACAGGCCGGUCAUGCCAGAUCCACACAGGAGGUGGGGUCCUGGAGGGGUGACAGGGCUGAUGGCUGCAGGCUGGAAGUUGGGACCUGCUCAGCCUGCCCUGGGGGUUCCCCUUUUCUGGGAUCAGACUUGCCUCCUCGGGGCCCAACCUGCCCACUUUCCAGAAGGGACACAGCCAAAGAUCAAGCGUCUAAGGCACCUUGGAGUUUACCUGUCCCUACAGAGGGGACGGUAUUCAAAUAAGAUGCAAAUGGACCCAAUGGGUAAAGGGGAGGUUUUCCUCCAAUAGCAGGACGGGGCUCUGAGGUAACGUCUGUUUGCCCUAAACCGCAAACCAAUGCUCAGCAACAGCGGGGUGAGCGGCUGGAGAGGGGCCUGGUGCUCCUGCAAUGGCCAGGGCAGCGUUGUCACCUGCUCCCACCCCGCCUGCCCCCCCACCCUGACCUCCACAGGGUGGGGGGCCGAGCCUGCCUUGCAGCAGGAUGGUCAGGGCAGGGCCAGGACCAGGGCUACAGGGACUGGAGUGCCCUCUGAGGAGGGAGCCCGUUAAACAUUAGCCCUGAUGGCCCCCCGCGAAGUGAGUCAGACUCCCCGCGGGCUCCACGCUGGCCAGUUGCCGUUCCAGGUGGGUGACCAAGCUGCCGAAGCCUGGGACAGGCCACUGGGCCACGUGGGGGUGGCAGCCUGCUCCCCUGGCCCCUUGGGGCUCUCUCAAGUCUGAAGCUUGCCGUGGCCUUCACCCGAGAUGAGGGCGGGGUUUCCACUCCCCGGACACACCCCCAAGCUGGCCUGCAGGCUGGACCACAGCAGCUCGAGCCCCCACCAGCCAGUGGCUCAGGCACUCAGGGCUGCAGCUGGCAUCUGGCAGCUCAGAGAGGGACAGUGCCUUGCUCAAGGUCACAGGCCUAGCCAGGGGCUGAAACCGCAGACUCCUGGUCUGCUGAGAAAGGAUGCGAGCAGAGUUUGGGUCUCCCGGCUGGAGGCAGCAGCCUGGGGGCCUGAGCAGGGGGCCCACCUGUAGCCUUGACGUGGCACCCACCUGGUUCCACUUGUUGGCACAGGGUGGGCUCAGGGGAGAAUGACCUCACCCAGGAGCAGGGUGUGCAUUUUGUGUGUGUGUGUGUGUGUGUGUGUGUGUGUGUGUGUGUGUGUGUACGUGCUCUGGGUCAUCCAGGAGAGGGUGAGCCUGCGGAGUUCCCGUGUGACCAUGACAGCACACAGGGCGGGGGCUGCCUGCCUGUGAGGGUGACGGAUGCCCAUGCGUCCUUCAUGUUAGAAUUUUCUAGAUGCCAUUCCCCUGCUUGGAUCUCUGAGGAAACCAGGGCCACUGUGGUGACAUUUUGAUAAAGCACACAUACUCGGUGAAAAGGCUUCUCUUUGUUCAAGGAUGCAGGUCUUCCUUUUAUUAUUUCAGUGUUAAAAUACCCUGCACUUACCAGGUGGGGGAGGGGCAGGAGGCAGUAAUUGUUUUUGUUGUUGUUUUUGCUUUUUUGGCUGCCCUGCAGCACAUGGAGUUCCCAGGCCAGGGAUCAGAUCCCACCCACGGCUGUGAUCUAUGUGGCAGAUGUGGCAACACCGGAUCCUUAACCCCCUGUGCUGGGCCGUCCCAGGGCUCCAGAGACGCCACAGCGGGAGCUCCUAAUGGCUUUUUUUUUUUUUUUUUUUUUUUUUUGACGUGCUUACUUCAAAAAACAAACUGGUGGCAACACGGUUUGGGUAUUCAUAUCUUUAACAACAUUAUUUGUUUGUGAAAAGCCAAAGCCGCUGCCUCGGAUCCUUUAGGGUGUAGGUCUUAUCACCUCGCAGUGGAAAGGAACUGAGGUCAGUCUGUGACUUCCAGCCCCACUGGCCUGGGGCCAGGGAUGUCCGAUCCCCACGCUGGCUGCCUCUGUGCUGUGCAGCGGGGGCAGGGGGGAGUCCAGAGCUGCCAUCUUCCUGGGGAGGGAAGAGAGAGGUGGUUCCCUCCUGCACUGGCUGCGGAGUCUCAAAAACACCUGUCCUUGUCCAGGGGAAUCCCGGUGUCACAAGCCCCGUCUUCGUGGGUUCUCCCCGGAGGAAGUGACCAGCACAGGCUCACAGUUUUUAAUGCCCCGUCUAAAGAACUAUACAAAGAACAGUACUGCACCAACCACUGAUGUAUUUUAUUUUAUUUUUUUAGGGCUGCACAGCGGAAUUUGGAGAUUCCCAGGCGAGGGGUCGAAUCAGGAGCUGCUGUCACUGGCCUACGCCAUAGCCACAGCCACGCCAGAUCCAAGCCGCGUCUGUGACCUAUACCACAGCUCACAGCAAUGCUGGAUCCUUAACCCACUGAGCAGAGGCUAAGGAUCAAACCUGCGUCCUCAUAGAUGCUAGUCAGAUUUGUUUCCCCUAAGCCAUGACGGGAAUUCCCAACCACUGAUUUUAAGAACUAGGGCAUUGCAAGUCAAUUAUCUUGGUAAUAACCUGCAGUGGAAAAUAAUUCUGGAAAUAAAUAAAUACUUGAUUUAAUUUUAUAUUUAUUUUAUAAGUUAUUUUAUAAUUAUUUAUAACAACUAUUCAUAUGUCAUAUAAAUUAUUCAUAAUAAUUUGCAUAUACCUAUGUGUAUAUUCAUACAUACAUAUAUAGAACUGAAUUACUGUGCUGCAUGCCUGAAACUAACACAAUAUUGUAAAUCACCUACACUUCAAUUUACUUUUUAUUUAUUUAUUUAUUUAUUUUUCUUGUCUUUUUUUUUUUUGCCUUUUCCAGGGCUGCUCCUGCAGCAUAUGGAGGUUCCCAGGCUAGGGGUCCAAUCGGAGCUACAGCUGCAGGAUCUGAGCCGCGUCUGAGACCUACACCACAGUUCACGGCAAUGCCGGAUCCGUAACCCACUGAGCAAGGUCAGGGAUCGAACCAGAAACCUCACGGUUCUUAGUCGGAUUCGUUAACCACUGUGCCACGAUGGGAACUCCGAUCAAUUUUAAAAAAAAGCCUCCCCUGCGCGCUCCUCUCCACAAAGGAUAAAGUCAUCUUCAGUCUUGUGUGUUUGUUCUCCUGGCUCUCUGCAUAAUGUAACCAUGUGUUCACGGCUCCAGAAACAAUGCCUCGCUUACGUUUG